rnacentral:rRNA from 1 species
GACGAACGCUGGCGGCGUGCUUAACACAUGCAAGUCGAGCGGUAAGGCCCCUUCGGGGGUACACGAGCGGCGAACGGGUGAGUAACACGUGAGCAAUCUGCCCUUCACACGGGGAUAACCACCGGAAACGGUGGCUAAUACCCGAUACGACCACUUCAGGCAUCUGAUGGUGGUGGAAAGUUCCGGCGGGGGAGGAUGAGCUCGCGGCCUAUCAGCUUGUUGGUGGGGUAAUGGCCUACCAAGGCAACGACGGGUAGCCGGCCCGAGAGGGUGACCGGCCACACUGGGACUGAGACACGGCCCAGACUCCUACGGGAGGCAGCAGUGGGGAAUAUUGGACAAUGGGCGAAAGCCUGAUCCAGCAACGCCACGUGAGGGAUGACGGCCUUCGGGUUGUAAACCUCUUUCAGCAGGGACGAAGCGCAAGUGACGGUACCUGCAGAAGAAGCACCGGCCAACUACGUGCCAGCAGCCGCCGUAAAAC